UACGGAGGAUCCAAGCGUUAUCCGGAUUUAUUGGGUUUAAAGGGUGCGUAGGCGGCUUGUUAAGUCAGGGGUGAAAGACGGUGGCUCAACCAUCGCAGUGCCUUUGAUACUGACGAGCUUGAAUGGACUAGAGGUAGGCGGAAUGUGACAAGUAGCGGUGAAAUGCAUAGAUAUGUCACAGAACACCGAUUGCGAAGGCAGCUUACUAUGGUUUUAUUGACGCUGAGGCACGAAAGCGUGGGGAGUCAAACAGGA
rnacentral:rRNA from 1 species